rnacentral:rRNA from 1 species
CCUACGGGGGGCAGCAGUGAGGAAUAUUGGUCAAUGGACGCGAGUCUGAUCCAGCCAUGUCGCGUGAAUGAUGACUGCCCUAUGGGUUGUAAACUUCUUUUGUAUGGGGAUAAAAGGUUCCACGUGUGGGAUUUUGUAUGUACCAUAUGAAUAAGGAUCGGCUAACUCCGUGCCAGCAGCCGCGGUAAUACGGAGGAUUCGAGCGUUAUCCGGAUUGAUUGGGUUUAAAGGGAACGUAGGUGGAUUGUUAAGUCAAUUGUGAAAGUUCCGGGCUCAACCUUAAGAUUGCAUUUGAAACUGUCAGUCUUGAGUACAGUAGAGGUAGGCGGAAUUCGUGGUGUAGCGGUGAAAUGCUUAGAUAUCAGGAAGAACACCGAUUGCGAAGGCAGCUCACUGGACUGCAACUGACGCUGAGGCUCGAAAGUGUGGGGAGCAAACAGGAUUAGAUACCCGUGUAGUC